rnacentral:tRNA from 1 species
AAAUAAGAAGCAAUUUGCAUUUAAUUUCGACUUAAAAGAUAGGGUUUAUACCCCUUAUUUA